rnacentral:RNase_P_RNA from 1 species
UUCUCUCCCGAGUCUGUAUGGACCUGCCCACAUAAGGAGCACGCUUGUCGUGCUCACAAAUACGCAGGUGGGAAAUUCGGUGGUUCGCACUGACCGCCUACAAAGUUUUCUCUUGAGAGAUCCUGGCGAGGAAUCGCUGGGUGCGGCCAUAAGAAAUCAGCCCGUGCAAACGGGCAUGGGAGGCUGCACGGUCAGUUGGUCCUUGGAAAGAAGGGCUAUUGAGUGCAAUAUACAGACUACGGCUUCGGCCGUGGAACCCGAUACCGAUUACUUCUGGUGAGAA